CAGAGUGAUGCACCGUACGGCAGCGAACAGUCACACAAUUUAGGGAUAUACUAGACAACAUCCCAUGCAAUUUGCUUGAUUCCUCAUUGGUCUUGCUUAGAGGCUAAAUACUGCCCAGAAGACAACAACUUGGCACAACCGUCUGUGGUGAGACAUCGUAUAAAACAUGGGGAGCGGUAGCUCGUCUGAUAUGGGGAGUGGUUCAUCGACUGCUCCCAGUACGGCCAGUGCAGCCAGUACAUCUUCAAUCUGCACUUGCAGUAAGGCGGUCUGUGACGCAUCUGUAGCUUCUUGUACAGGAGUGGGCAGAGUGGUGGAGUGCAGUAUUAAGGCCGUGCGAGAUGACUACUAUCGGAGAAAGGAGCAGCAGUUACAUCUUGAGAGAAAGGAAAAUAUCAUCUUGGCCUUUGUCACGCUUAUGCUGUUCCUAAUUGGAUAUCUUUUGGGAAGAGAUCCUGCAAUUAAAUUGCUCAAUUAAGGACACAAUGUUCCCAAAGUCUUAAAAUAUUACGCAAUAAAAUUAUACCCUGACUCACAAUA